GAACUCUUGAUUAAGCCUAUUGGAUACUGUGAAAUGCAGUAAACCUCAUGUCGACUCAAACCAGGACCAUGGAAAGGCAAAGAUGGCC
rnacentral:lncRNA from 1 species